rnacentral:rRNA from 1 species
UGGGGAAUAUUGGACAAUGGGCGAAAGCCUGAUCCAGCAACGCCGCGUGAGGGAUGACGGCCUUCGGGUUGUAAACCUCUUUCAGCAGGGACGAAGCGAAAGUGACGGUACCUGCAGAAGAAGCACCGGCCAACUACGUGCCAGCAGCCGCGGUAAUACGUAGGGUGCAAGCGUUGUCCGGAAUUAUUGGGCGUAAAGGGCUCGUAGGCGGUCCAUCGCGUCGGGAGUGAAAAGCUGGGGCUUAACCCCAGUCCUGCUUCCGAUACGGGUGGACUAGAGGUAGGUAGGGGAGAACGGAAUUCCUGGUGUAGCGGUGAAAUGCGCAGAUAUCAGGAGGAACACCGGUGGCGAAGGCGGUUCUCUGGGCCUUACCUGACGCUGAGGAGCGAAAGCAUGGGGAGCAAACAGGAUUAGAUACCCGCGUAGUCC